rnacentral:rRNA from 1 species
GACGAACGCUGGCGGCGUGCCUAACACAUGCAAGUCAACUUGACUGAAGGAGCAAUCUGACAGUAGAGUGGCGCAAGGGUGCGUAACGCGUAAGUAACUUGCCCAAGGUAAGGAAUAACGUCGAGAAAUCGGCGCUAAUACCUCAUAAUGCAGCGGAUCCGCAUGGAUAUGUUGUUAAAGGUUUACCGCCUUGGGAUAGGCUUGCGUCUGAUUAGCUAGUUGGUGUGGUAACGGCACACCAAGGCUACGAUCGGUAACUGGUCUGAGAGGAUGAUCAGUCACACUGGAACUGAGACACGGUCCAGACUCCUACGGGAGGCAGCAGUGAGGAAUAUUGGGCAAUGCUCGAAAGAGUGACCCAGCAACGCCGCGUGGAGGAUGAAGGUAUUCUAUAUCGUAAACUCCUGUGAGAGCAGACGAAAGACAGAUUAUUAAUCUGGAUGACUGUAUGCUC